rfam:Oikopleura dioica, whole genome shotgun assembly, reference scaffold set, scaffold scaffold_401
UAUCUGGUUGAUCCUGCCAGUAGUCAUAUGCUUGUCUCAAAGAUUAAGCCAUGCAUGUCUAAGUACGGCUCUAGUACGGUGAAACUGCGAAUGGCUCAUUAAAUCAGUUUUGGUUCAUUUGAUCGUGAAAGUUACAGGGAUAACUGUUGUAAUUCAAGAGCUAAUACACGCUAAGAGUGUCGCUCUCUGGGCGGCGCGCUUUUAUCAGACCAAAACCAAUCACCUUCGGGUGUUCAUUGUGGUGAGUCUGGAUAAACUAGCUGAUCGCAUGGUCUCGAACCGGCGAUGGAUCAUUCAAGUGUCUGACCUAUCAACUGUCGAUGGUAGCGUAUUGGGCUACCAUGGUUGUAACGGGUAACGGAGAAUUAGGGUUUGGUUCCGGAGAGGGAGUCUGAGAAACGGCUACCACAUCUAAGGAAGGCAGCAGGCGCGCAAAUUACCCAUUCCCGACUCGGGGAGGUAGUGACGAAAAAUAACAAUUCAAGACUCUUAACGAGGCCUUGAAGUUGGAAUGAGUACACUUUAAAACUUUUAACGAGUAACUAUUGGAGGGCAAGUCUGGUGCCAGCAGCCGCGGUAAUUCCAGCUCCAAUAGCGUAUACUAAAGUUGUUGCGGUUAAAAAGCUCGUAGUUGGAUCUUGGAAUGUGUUCAAGCGGGUCAGCUUCUGGCUGUUCGCUGCUUGACGUGUUCUUCUAUUUGGUUUUGGUGCGGUGCGCUUAACUGCGUGUCGCUCCCGGCCGAAACGUUUACCUUGAAAAAAUUAGAGUGUUCAAAGCAGACCUGUUUGAGUCUGAAUAUUCGUGCAUGGAAUAAUGAAAUAUGAAUUCGGUUCUAUUUUGUUGGUUUUCGGAACUCGAGUUAAUGAUCAAGAGGGACAGACGGGGGCAUUCGUACUCUGCCGUUAGAGGUGAAAUUCUUGGAUCGGCGGAAGACGCGCAACUGCGAAAGCAUUUGCCAAGAAUGUUUUCUUUAAUCAAGAACGAUAGUCGGAGGUUCGAAGACGAUCAGAUACCGUCCUAGUUUCGACUGUAAACUAUGCCAGCUAACGAUCAGACAGAGUUCUCUACGACUUGUCUGGCAGUUUCCGGGAAACCAAAGCGUUUGGGUUCCGGGGGAAGUAUGGUUGCAAAGCUGAAACUUAAAGGAAUUGACGGAAGGGCACCACCAGGAGUGGAGCCUGCGGCUUAAUUUGACUCAACACGGGGAAACUCACCCGGCCCGGACACAGUGAGGAUUGACAGAUUGAGAGUUCUUUCUUGAUUCUGUGGGUGGUGGUGCAUGGCCGUUCUUAGUUGGUGGAGCGAUUUGUCUGGUUAAUUCCGAUAACGAACGAGACUCUGGCAUGUUAAAUAGUCGCGGAAGUGCGUAUGCACUUGCCGAAUUGACUUCUUAGAGGGACUAGUGAUUUUAAUUCACACGAGAUUGAGCAAUAACAGGUCUGUGAUGCCCUUAGAUGUUCGGGGCCGCACGCGCGCUACAAUGAGUCGAUCAACGUGCGUAUAUUUCCAAGGCCGAAAGGUCGAGGUAAUCCGUUGAACCCGACUCGUGCUAGGGAUAGGGACUUGUAAUUGUUUCCCUUGAACGAGGAAUUCCCAGUAAGCGCAAGUCAUCAGCUUGCGUUGAUUACGUCCCUGCCCUUUGUACACACCGCCCGUCGCUACUACCGAUUGAAUGGUUCAGUGAGAUAAUCGGAUAGGUAACUCGGUAAGCAGCAAUGUUUACCAAGCAUACAUAGAAGACGAUCAAACUCAGUCAUUUAGAGGAAGUAAAAGUCGUAACAAGGUUUCCGUAGGUGAACCUGCGGAAGGAUCAUUA